rnacentral:rRNA from 1 species
GCAUAUCAAUAAGCGGAGGAAAAGAAACCAACAGGGAUUGCCCCAGUAACGGCGAGUGAAGCGGCAACAGCUCAAAUUUGAAAUCUGGUCCCUAGGGCCCGAGUUGUAAUUUGUAGAGGAUGCUUUUGGUGAGGUGCCGCCCGAGUUCCCUGGAACGGGACGCCACAGAGGGUGAGAGCCCCGUCUGGCUGGCCGCCGAGCCUCUGUAAAGCUCCUUCGACGAGUCGAGUAGUUUGGGAAUGCUGCUCAAAAUGGGAGGUAUAUGUCUUCUAAAGCUAAAUAUUGGCCAGAGACCGAUAGCGCACAAGUAGAGUGAUCGAAAGAUGAAAAGCACCUUGAAAAGAGGGUUAAAUAGUACGUGAAAUUGUUGAAAGGGAAGCGCUUGUGACCAGACUUGGGCGCGGCGGAUCAUCCGGGGUUCUCUCCGGUGCACUUCGCCGCGUCUAGGCCAGCAUCAGUUCGUCGCGGGGGAAAAAGGCUUCGGGAACGUGGCUCCUCCGGGAGUGUUAUAGCCCGUUGCAUAAUACCCUGCGGUGGACUGAGGACCGCGCAUCUGCAAGGAUGCUGGCGUAAUGGUCACCAGCGACCCGUCUUGAAACACGGACCAAGGAGUCGUCUUCGUAUGCGAGUGUUCGGGUGUCAAACCCCUACGCGUAAUGAAAGUGAACGCAGGUGAGAGCUUCGGCGCAUCAUCGACCGAUCCUGAUGUUCUCGGAUGGAUUUGAGUAAGAGCAUACGGGGCCGGACCCGAAAGAAGGUGAACUAUGCCUGUAUAGGGUGAAGCCAGAGGAAACUCUGGUGGAGGCUCGCAGCGGUUCUGACGUGCAAAUCGAUCGUCAAAUAUGGGCAUGGGGGCGAAAGACUAAUCGAACCUUCUAGUAGCUGGUUUCCGCCGA